UCAAGUUAUUAAGGGUGCAGGGCGAAUGCCUUGGCACUAGGAGCCGAUGAAGGACGUGAUAAGCUGCGAUAAGCUUCGGGGAGUUGCACGUAAACUUUGAUCCGAAGAUUUCCGAAUGAGGAAACUCACUUAGAGUAAUGUCUAAGUAUCGUAUGAUGAAUACAUAGUCAUGCGAGGGGAACCCGGAGAACUGAAACAUCUAAGUACCCGGAGGAAGAGAAAGAAAUUCGAUUCCGUAAGUAGCGGCGAGCGAACGCGGAACAGGCCAAACCAGUGAAGUUUUCUUCGCUGGGGUUGCGGACAUAUCAUAACGAAGAGGUAUCGUAGAGGAAGAGAGUUGGAAAGCUCCGCCAUAGAUGGUAACAGCCCAGUACUUUAAACGAGAAGACUUUAGAUAUGAUCCAGAGUACCACGGGACACGUGAAACCCUGUGGGAAGCAGGAGGGACCAUCCUCCAAGCCUAAAUACUACCUAGUGACCGAUAGCGUAUAGUACCGUGAGGGAAAGGUGAAAAGAACCCCGGGAGGGGAGUGAAAGAGAACCUGAAACCCUGCACUUACAAGCUGUAGGAGCACAUUUCUUGUGUGACUGCGUACUUUUUGUAGAACGGGCCAACGAGUUACGUUGUGUAGCAAGGUUAAGCACUUAAGGUGUGGAGCCGUAGCGAAAGCGAGUCUUAAAUGGGCGUCUAGUUACCCGACGUAGACCCGAAACCAGGCGACCUAUCCAUGAGCAGGUUGAAGCGAAAGUAAAAUUUCGUGGAGGACCGAACCCACGUACGUUGAAAAGUGCGGGGAUGACUUGUGGAUAGCGGUGAAAUUCCAAUCGAGCCUGGAGAUAGCUGGUUCUCCCCGAAAUAGCUUUAGGGCUAGCCUCAAGAUUAGAGAAGCGGAGGUAGAGCACUGAAUGUCCUAGGGGGUAUUGCACUUACCGAAGACUAUCAAACUCCGAAUGCCGUAUUCUUUUGCUUGGGAGUCAGACUAUGGGUGAUAAGAUUCAUAGUCAAGAGGGCAACAGCCCAGAUCGUCAGCUAAGGUCCCUAAAUGUAAGUUAAGUGGUAAAGGAUGUGGAAUUGCACAGACAACCAGGAUGUUGGCUUAGAAGCAGCCACUCAUUUAAAGAGUGCGUAAUAGCUCACUGGUCGAGUGAUUCUGCGCCGAAAAUUUCCGGGGCUAAAACUUACUACCGAAGCUACGGCAUCAUUAUGAUGGGUAGGGGAGCUUUCUAUACGGGUUGAAGCAUGACCGUAAGGACAUGUGGACUGUAUAGAAGUGAGAAUGUUGGCAUGAGUAGCGAGAUGUGGGUGAGAAUCCCACAGGCCGUAAACCCAAGGUUUCCAGGGGAAGGUUCGUCCGCCCUGGGUUAGUCAGGACCUAAGCCGAGGCCGAAAGGCGUAGGUGAUGGACAACAGGUUGAUAUUCCUGUACCACCAAUAACCGUUUGAGAAAUGGGAUGACACAGUAGGAUAAGCUAACCGCACUGUUGGUUAUGUGCGGGCAAGUAUUGAGGCAGUUCCGAUAGGCAAAUCCGUCGGAAUAAUGCUGGGGUACGAUGCGGAGCGAAAUUAAGUAGCGAAGUAGCUGAUUUCACACUGUCGAGAAAAGUCUCUAUCGAGGUUAAAGGUGCCUGUACCGCAAACCGACACAGGUGGGUGAGGAGAGUAUCCUAAGGCCAGCGAGAGAACUGUUGUUAAGGAACUCGGCAAAAUGACCCCGUAACUUAGGGAGAAGGGGUGCCUUCGAAAGAAGGCCGCAGAGAAUAGGCCCAAGCGACUGUUUACCAAAAACAUAGGUUUCUGCUAAGUCGCAAGACGAUGUAUAGGAGCUGACGCCUGCCCGGUGCUGGAAGGUUAAGGGGAUCUGUUAGAGCAAUCGAAGCAGUGAACUUAAGCCCCAGUAAACGGCGGCCGUAACUAUAACGGUCCUAAGGUAGCGAAAUUCCUUGUCGGG
rnacentral:rRNA from 1 species